CGUGGGGCGGGCGCGGCGGCUCGGACCGCGGGGGCGACCGCGGUGGCGACAGAAGAAGUUACGGCGGGAGCGGCGGAGGCGACCGCGGUAGCGGCGGUGGCGACCGCGGCAGCGGCGGUGCCAUGAGGGGUGAUGGCGGGGGCAGAGACCGCCAGAGACCGUAUUAAUUUUACGUAAUGUAAUGAUUUAUUGAUAAAGCAUUGAAUUUGACAUAAGUUGUAAUUGUAAUUUAGAAACAGAAGUUUAGAUAGAACAUUCAGUCCCACUCAGUAACAUUUAGUGAGAAGCCACACGGUGCCGCAUCACUGUACACAUGUGGUAUGCGGCGCCGCAAUACGGCACCGUCUCGCUCAAUCGAAGUGCGGUGUGCCUGCGGUGCGGCGUCAGAACGCACCGUCUGGCAUAUCAUUGAUUUUUAUCGCCGCAGCGGCAUCGCUCCGGCGCCGCGCCGCGACCGCAUCGCACCGUGUGGCUUCUCCCUUAGACUGGGUUGCACCAUCUUACUUUAUCUUUGACAAACGUCAAAAAUCUGAAACUCCCAUACAAAAAGCACCGGUUAACGUAAUAGUUAGGUGGUGCAACUCAGCCUAAUUAUUACUCAAAUUAGCAUAGAAGAGUUAUCAUAUUUUUCGUAAUGAUUAAACAGAAACGUUUCUGAGUGCAACCAUAUAAAAACCGGUUUUUAAUUAAAUCUUCAUUUUUUUAAAUAACAGAUAAGUAAUGAAUAACCUUUCUCGUUUUUUUUAAACUUAAAACAUGCAGAACUGAUAAAUAAUUAUUAACAUAAUAUUUAAUUAGGAACCGGUUAAAAUGUAUUAGUUAUAUCGAUGUAUGGAAAAGUAAAUGAUGUUUAUUGAUAUUUUAUGACUGUUUGUAAGAUUUAUAGCAAAUCAUUUCCAUAUGUUAUGUAUUUUCUCAAUACAAUAUGUAAAAGCAUUUACUAGAAUGAUUGUUUGGUAAGUA